CCUACGGGAGGCAGCAGUGGGGAAUAUUGCACAAUGGGGGAAACCCUGAUGCAGCAACGCCGCGUGAGCGAUGAAGGCCUUCGGGUCGUAAAGCUCUGUCCUAAGGGAAGAAUACUGACGGUACCUUAGGAGGAAGCCCCGGCUAACUACGUGCCAGCAGCCGCGGUAAUACGUAGGGGGCGAGAGUUAUCCGGAAUUACUGGGCGUAAAGGGUGCGUAGGCGGCCUCUCAGGUCAGAGGUGAAAGGCGGCUGCGAAACCGUAGUAAGGAUUUGAAACUGUAGGGCUUGAGUGCAGGAGAGGAGAGUGGAAUUCACAGAGUAGCGGUUAUAUGCUUAUAUAUUGGAAUGAACACCAGUUGCGAAGGCGGCGAUCUGGAGUGUAACUGACGCUGAGGCACGAAUUCGUGGGGAGCGAACAGGAUGAGAGACCCUAGUAGUC
rnacentral:rRNA from 1 species